GCUCAUUUUUUAGCUCAUUUUUUAGCUCAUUUGUUAAAUCAUUUGUUAAAUCAUUUACUAGCUAGCUUACUCAUUUCCCUAUUCUGCACCUCGAAAAAAACAAUUUAGCUAUCAGAACUUAACGGUUUCUUAAAAAAAAAAAAAAAUAAAUUGCUCUGCAAUUAUAACAAAUCAGUGUAUCAAUUAAUUAAAAAAAUAAAAAUAAAAAAAUGUUGGCAGAACACGGAAUAAAAAAGGAUCAUGCUCAUCCUAAUUAUGAUGGAUUAUAUAAUGAACAAAAUGACAACAGAUGUUAUACUAGCUAUAAGGAGGAUAUGAAGUUAACAAUGGAUGUAGAAAAACAAUGUAAAAUAAAAUAUUAUAAUAAUACAAAAAAAAAUACAAAUAGUUUAUUCAAAAAAUACACAAUUAAUCAACAUAAUAAAAACCUAAUGGAACAUUCUUUUUAUAAGAAUGAAAUACAAAGCAGUAAUAGUAAUAGUAGUCUUAUUAGUAAUAUUAAUAACAAUAGUAUAUAUAACACGAAUAAUAAUAAUAAUAAUAAUAAUAAUAGUAAUAAUAAUAAUAGUGCUUAUAAUACAUCUGUUCAUACUUCUUCUACCACUAUGCAUAACAAAACAUAUUUUAAUAAUGAAAGUAGUAGUAGUAGUAGUAUUAGUAAUAAAAAUAAUAAAUACGCAUUUAACAAAAAUAAGAAAAAUUUAUUUCAUAAUAAUAAGAAAACGUAUAUGAAUGGCACGAAGAGUAAUAGUAAUGGUGGUGGUAAUAAUAAUAAUAGCGCUCAUAGUAAUGGUAGUUAUAAAUAUGGUUACAAAUUGUGUUAUUACAAUAUGAACAAUGAUAUUGCUAAUAACAAUGGAAGUAACAAUAACAGCUUUAACAUUAAUAAUGGAGAUAACGUUGAAACUACAAAAAACAGCCUUCCUAAUAAAUAUAACGAUAAAACUAAAACAACAAAUUAUAAAAAACAAAUUAAUAAAAAUUGCACCACACUAAUACAUAAUAUUUUGUCCAAUAAUGCUAACCAUAAUGCAAACCUGAAUUCAAAACUGAAUUCAAACCUGAAUUCAAACAAUAAUGCCAAGUUCAACUGCCUAAGUACCAACGCCCAAGCUACAACUGGUACUAAUAAUGACUUAUGUCAUAGUGAACAAAAUAGUAAUGGUAAUAAUAAAAAGUUAAUUUAUAAACCAUAUAAAAAUGAUAUGCAAAAGGUAUUAAACAGAAGUAAGUAUUCUAAAGAUCACACACAAAAAUAUAUUAACAAAACAUCAACUAUCAAUUCAGUUAUUAAGAAUAACAAUAUAGGCGCAAAUCCUGCUAGUUCUACUACUGGUACUAAUAUAAACAAUGUUGGUGCUGGCUUAAUCGAUACUGGUGCCACUUUAAACGUUAAAAAUAUUACACAUGAAACAAACACGAUAAUCGAUUCAUCUAUAUAUACUUCUACCAACUUAGAAGAUUCGUAUAAUAAUUAUAUGAACAUAAAAAAAAAAAAAACUGACUUUUCAAACACUUUUAGUAACAAAAUGGAUACAUAUAAAUACAACUCCUACAAGGGAGCAAAAAAAAAUGACUACAAAUAUGAACACAAUUUUGGAAAACAUAUAAAUACGCUUACACCUCCUGAAUUUGUUAAUAAUAAUUCGAACAUAAAAAUACAAAACAACAAAAAAGGUAGAUUUGAGCAUGUAGAUAGUAAUAAUAACAUUUUCCAGGCAUAUAAAAAAAGCGAUACUUUUAUAUCGAAUCAUGUAAAACCAACACUUGGUAAUGCUAACAAAGGUAAUCUUAAUAAUACUAAUAACAAUAGUAGUUUCGGUUUUAGUAAUGGUAACAGCGGAAGUAACAUUACCAACGCCAACAAUAAGAACAGAGAUAUUAAUGAUAAAACCAACAGUAAUAGCAAUAGCAAUAGCAAUAGUAUUAGUAGUAGUAGUAGUAAAAAAAAAAAAAAUAAUAAAAAUUUUAGCGUAAACUUAUGUAACUCAUGUUUAAAUGUUGAUGGUGAUAUAUAUUUAAAACAAAUAAAAGAAAUAAUUGAUAGGAAAUUAGAUUUAUCUAAAGAAGAUAGUAAUGUUAUAGCCGAGUUGAAAAAAAAAAAUAUCCAUCACUCUUAUUGUUUUAAUAAUUUAAAAACGGUUUGUACAUUUCGAAGAGGUGGUUUGGUAUGGGUUGUAUAUGAGAAUGAUUUAGUUAAUUGUGAUAGUUACAGUGAUUGUGGUAGUCACGACAGUUGCAAGAACAAAAGUACCGUCUUUAGCAGUAAUAAUAUAAACAGUAAUUGUAGUAACAAAACUGGUAAAAAUAUACUAAUAAAUUAUGACAAAUUAGAAAAAGAAAAACAGAGUAGCGUAUUAUACAAUAAUCAGAAAAAUAAUAUAGAUGAAUUUAAUUAUACAAAUUUAAUAAAAACAAAUGUAUUUUAUAAUAAUAAUUACAUAAUAGAACCAACUAUCGAAAAUACAUGGUUAAAAAAAGCAUUAAUUUUAAUUCAAAAAGAAUCGUUAGAUAUAGAUGAGUUUUUUUUUAAAUUAAAAUAUUAUUUUUAUAAAUCAGUCCAAUUUUUAUAUAAAGAAGGAAUCAAAUCAUAUCUAGGUGAUAUGGCUAAUCAAAUGAAAAUUUAUAUAAAAUAUAAUUUUUGGGCAGCUUCAGAAAUAGCAUAUAUAUUACGUUUAUUAACAAAUUUAUGUAACUUACAAAUAGAAGUUCGCAUAAAAGGAGAAAUAGGAUGUGUGGUAUAUCUAAAUAAAACUCCAGAAGGUUUUAAAAAUUUUGUAGAUAGUCAUGAUCUAACUGAUACUUUUAGUAAAAAGGAUUGGCUUUUGUUAAAUCAGUUUGCUAUAAAAAUGAUGCAGUGUAAAAAAGAAGACAAUGAAGAAGCAGUAUGUGUUAGUAGUGCUAAAUUGAUUAAAGAAAAUAUUGAUGAAGAUGAUAGAGGUGAUGUAUUUACAAAUGAAGUAGAUACAAUACAUAAUGGUCAAGAAAAAGAAAAAAAUUUCGAAUUGUUACAACCAGUAUCGGAAGUAGCUAAUACAAAUGCAAGUGCAAGUGCAACUACAACGACGCAUGUACAUAUAGAUGAUAACAAUCCAUGUGAAGAGGAAGAGACAUAUGAUUGCGUUUUAUGCUCAUCUAAUAAUAAAAAGUUAAAACCAUACAUGUUUAAUGGUGGUAGAUAUGCAUUUGCUGCAAAACUAAAACAUGAAAUAAAAAGUUUUAAGUCGAAAAGAUUAGGCGAAAUAAUACAUCUAGUACAAUUAGCUAUACAUCAAGGUAUUUUUGUAUACUCACAGAGAAUAUUAUUACCUAUUGCUGCAUGCGAAAGAAGCGCAAAUGAUUUGUACCCAAAAGUAAAAAGCUUUACUUAUGAAAUAUGUACAACUAUAGAUGAAGUCUUACAAAUUAUUUCACUAUUAGUAGACCAUAAACAAAAUGGUUUGGUUUUAGCACAAUUAAAACAACAAUUUAUUAUACAAUUUCAAAAAGAGUUAAAUAGUUUACAUUUUGGAUAUAAAAAAUUACAGAAUAUGCUUUUAUCGGAACCGUUUAAUAAAAGUUACAAACUAUACAUACCAAGUUGCAACUUACAUAGAACACACAUUCAACACAUAAAAUAUAAAACUCCUGACAACUGUCGCGUUUUUAAAAAAGAAAAUGUAAGCAUGAUAAAUCAUUUGAAUUUUAUUGAAAAUAAAGAAAUGCUAGAGCAGGAUUCGGAUUCGGAUACGGAUACGGAUAUGGAUAUGGAUAUGGAUACGGGUGUCGAUACGGGUGUCGAUACGGAAGUCGAUAUGGAAGUCGAUACGGAAGUCGAUACGGAUAUGGACACGAAUACACACUUGAACAAUGCGGACGAGAAAGAAAAGCAUAUUAAACAAGAAUCACAACCCCAAAUUAAUAAUGAAAAAAAAGAAUCAAAUAACACGAUGUAUGAUAUACAUACUUCCAUGAUAAGUAACAAUCAAUUAGAAAGCACUUAUACAAAAAAGGAGCAAGACGAAAAAGAAUGUACGACAGGAAAGGAGCGUAGUAAUAUCUUAGUAAAUAUAAACAAUGAAAAACAAAAAAACGGUAGUACUAGUCUAUCCCUCUCAACUUCAUUAAGCACGGUGGAAGUAAAAGAACAAAAGAAAAAAAGAACAAACAAAAAAAUAGAUCUUACUUAUAAAAAUAUAAAUAAUUUACCAUUAUUUAUUCAAGAAAGCGUUAAAAAUAUAUUUGAAUGUAGCAUGGAUUAUAAUACGUCUGUUGAUGUGUAUAUUAAUGAUGAAUGUACAGAUUUUUAUGCUGAUGUACAAACUGAUGUGCAUACUGAUGUACACACUGAUUUGUAUGCUGAUGUACACACUGAUUUGUAUGCUGAUGUACACACUGAUUUGUAUGCUGAUGUACACACUGAUGUGUAUGCUGAUGUACACAACGAUGUGUAUGCUGAUGUGUAUGCCACAGUUUGUGCUGAUAGUGCGAAUGUUGUUGAUACUAUGGAUUAUGAAGUAUCUGAUAAUGACCUUACUAAUAAUUUCGAUACAAACUUUGAUAAAGUCUUUGAGUUAAGUGGAGAUAAGCAAGAACAGGAGCAGGAACAAGAACAAGAACAAGAACAGGAACAGGAAGAAGGAGAUAAUGACAAUUUUGUUGACUCGUUUAUUGUUAAGGAACACAAAAAAAACGACAAUAUCACUUUUAUCGACACAAUAAAUAAAGACGAAACAAUUAAUAGCAACAUUUAUAAUUUAAAUUUGUUUUAUGAAAAAAAUAUAACACCAAUAAAAAAUGAUUUGACUACUGAGCAAUUACAAAGUAUGGAUUAUACAAAAAACAAGGAAUUCUAUAUAAAUGAUUAUAACAGCACUCUUAACACGUUCCCAAGUACGACAUAUAAUAUGUGUAUUAAUGAGUGUUCAAACACUUACUCUAGUACUCACAUUAGUGCAUGUGGAAGUAAUAGCACUAGUAGUAAUGCAAGUACAAAUAAGAGUUCAGAAAAAUGUAGCAAAGAAAAUAUUGUAAAUUAUUUAUAUCAUAUUAAUUUAGAUGAAACAGAUGGACUUAUAAAAAAUAAGUUUAAUAAAAUAAAAAAUAUUUUCACAUACAUUGAUGAGAAUAAUAGCACAUAUGGCAAAAUUACCAGCAACAGCUUCGACAAAAUUACCAGCAACAGCUUCAGCAAAUUCACCAGCAACAGCUUCAGCAAAUUCACCAGCAAUAGUAUUAGUAACAGUAAUAUGGUUAGCGAUAGUAAUAACAAUAACAAUAGUAGUAAUAGUAGUAAUAAUAAUACCAUUCCUAUUGUAAAGGAUGGUAAAAAAGAUAUGCCGAAUGUCCAUAGCGAUAGUUGUACAUGCAUAAGCACAGAUGAAUGCAAAAAUGGAUGUAAAAAUUAUAGUAUAUGGAAUUACUAUCUUAAAAAAAUGACAAGAAAAUAUGAUGAUAAAAAAUAUACUGAUGUGAAUACAUUGACAAAGACUGCUAUAAAAUCGCCUAUUCUAAAUGUGUAUUCUCUAAUACAAAAAUACAAAAACAAAAAAGAUACCUAUGGAGAUUUUUUAAGCACUUAUGGUUUUAAUGAAAAUAGUUGUAAUAAACAAAGUCUUACGGAUUAUUGUUACCAUGGUAAGGUUGUAACUGAUGUUAGUUGUGCCGCAGUAAAUGACAUCAAACAUAAUGGAAAAAAAAACGACUACACUAAUGUUAUGUCUACCAGUAGUAAGAAUUUAGUCAGUGCAAAAGAUUCAAUAAGUUUGUUAAAUGUAAAGUAUACAGAAAUGAAUCAAGAAAGUUUGAUAGAAAAUAGCAAUCAAAAUCAAAGUCAAAAUCAAAGUCAAAAUCAAAAUCAAAACAGUAGCAAUAUUAAUUAUGAUUUAGAUAUAAAUAACUUUUUUCCAAACAAUGUAAUAGGAACCCCUGAACAAAUUUUAUUACCUGAGCGUACGACGAUAUCGAUGUAUAAUGUUGGUAACGUAGGUACUGGUAUAGCUACUGGUAUAGCUACUGGCAUAGGUUCCGAUAUAACUACUGGCAUAGGUUCCGAUAUAACUACUGGCAUAGGUUCCGAUAUAACUACUGGCAUAGGUUCCGAUAUAACUACUGGCAUAGGUUCCGAUAUAACUACUGACAUAGGUUCCGAUAUAAAUCCCGACAUAAGCACAGCAAUACAAAAAGCAUAUUUCAACAAAAACGACACCAAUAUUACUAAUCCUUAUUACAUACCUAUAAAUACAGCAAAAAAUAUAUUUAAUGAAAACGCUAACUAUAAUGUUUGUGAUAUUCAAAAUGAAGAUUUAAAUAAAAUGGGUGAAGAUGAUAAUCAAAUUUAUCGUUUUAUUAACGACUCGUAUGGUACGAAAGCACAAUUUAAAGAGACUGGACAAUAUACCACAGGGGUCCAAUGUCCAAUAAUUAAUGAUUAUACAAAAUCUAACCUGCAAGUACCGAACACACAAUAUAACGACUAUAAUGUAAUAAACAUAUACAAUUUGAAUAACAGUGAAGAAUGUAACAUAAACAAUGCCAAUGAAAACAUUCAUAACAAUAUGUUAUUAUCAUAUAAUAUUUGUAAUAGUAAUAGUAAUGGUAGUAUUAGUAGUAGUAAUAGUAGUAGUAUUAAUAGUAGAAGUAGUAAAUACAUAUGUCAAAGCGAAAAAAAUAACAACAAACAAAAUCUUUACCAUGAAAACUUUGACAAAUGGUACAUCAGUAAUUCAUUUAACAAUAAAGAAUAUAAAAUAAAAGGUUAUAAAGAUUUUCAAAAAAAUGAGAAUGAUAUAAAAAGUAUAAACGAAUAUACUAACAACAGUAGUAAUAGUAGUAGUAAUAGUAGUAGUAAAAAUAUUAUAAAAAAAAAUAUAAGCGAUGUAUUAUCAUACCAAAUAUAUGAACAUAAAAAUGAUAUAACAACAAAAGAUCUAUGCGAAGAUAUAAUAGUAGACACUUUACCGGAUUUUACUUAUUAUAAUAAUGAAAUUGAUAUUAAUAAUAAUUGUGUUAAUAUAACUAGUAAGAAUAAUUUUUUAUUUGUAACAAGCAAAAAAGGUACCUACAAAAUAGAUAAUGAUAAAAUAAAAAAUAAUAUAAGUGUGCUAAACGGCAGUACAAGCUUGCUAGAAAAAUUAAACUAUAACCAGUGUACAAAUAUAACUGAUUUUAAAAAAAUAAAAAGUAACAUAUUUAAUCCAGAUAGUCAAAAUUUGUUGAAUAAUACAGUUUUUAGUCAAAAUGGAAAUAGCUACGAAUAUGACGGUAUUAACAUGGUCGACACUAGCAUGGUCAACACUAGCAUGGUCGACACUAGCAUGGUCAACACUAGCAUGGUCGACACUAGCAUGGUCGACACUAGCAUGGUCAAUAGUACUUCAAAACAUAAUUACGCACUAUUAAGAAAUAAACAGGAUGCGAAAAAAAGUAACAAUAACAAAAGUACAAUUUUAAAACUUACCAACAAUAUACUUAACUCUACAAACUCAUACUCCAAAACAAACACAAAAACAAAUAACAAUAAUAUAAAAAAAAAUAUUAGCUUUAUUAAUAAAUUUAUUCAAGAAAGCAUUAUCGAAAAUAAUGACAAUUCAAAUAACGUAGAUAUAUUACAAAAUAAAAACACUUUUAAUAAAAAAUACUCAAAAAAUAACACAGGUAAUAAUCACAAUUAUGAAAAUUUUAAUUACUAUAUAUAUAAAAAUGAUAUAUCAUAUUAUAAUAAUAAAUAUAAAAGUAGCUAUAUAGAUAACAACUAUUCCCAACCGAACUUAGUCGAUUUUGGUAAUAUCGGUACGCAAGGUGUAGACAGUUAUGAACAAACCGAUUGCAUAAAUAAUAACAUGGGUGACAGUAUGAAUAUCAGUAUGAAUAUAUAUGAUAGUAUAGAUAAAGAAUCUUAUACCACGUUAAAUAAAACCGAUGUUAAUAGCAAUGGUAAUUACAAUGGCAAUAGCAAUGGUAAUUACAAUGGCAAUAACAAUGGCAAUAACAAUGGCAAUAACAAUGGCAAUAACAAUAUAAUAUCAACACAUGUGCAACCACUAACCAGUAGUUGUGCAGUUAGUAAUACAAGUCAAAAUAAAUGUAUGUUUAAAAAUAUAGAUUGUGCUAAAGAUAAUAUACAAGAAAACAAAAAAAAGUUUUUCUCUAAUAGUAUAUUAUUUAAUAAAAACAAAAUCCAAAAAGGUGUUGAAGCUUAUAAUUAUGAUAACUAUUUUUAUAAGCAAGAUAAGAAUACAUAUGCGUAUACAUGUGCAGAUAAUAAUUCUAUUAGUCUAACUGCAGAAGAAAAAAACUUGAACAGUAACACUUUUACAAGAAAUAAUAUAAUAAACGAUAAUUCGCUUACAAAUAAAAAUGUAAUUAUUAAAAAAAAUAAAUAUAUACACAACUGUAGUAAUAACUAUAAUAAUGUUAACUCGUUCAUUAUAAAUAUGACAAAAAAAAAUAAUAACAAAUACGUUUUUACCGAUAAUUCUUCAACACAGGAAUAUGAACAAAACGAAAAUAAAAUAAACGACGAUAAAAAUAAUAACUUAUUCAAUAUACACAACAGUAGUAACAGUAAUAACCAUAGUAAUAGUAAUAGUAAAAGUAACGUUUAUAAUCGUUUUACAUUAUCUAACAAAUAUAAUAAAAACACAGAUAAUAACAGCACAUUUAAAAACACAUAUGCUAUGCCUUAUCAUCAAAAUAAAGUCAAAUCGAACUCUUCUUUAAAUAAUAAAACAAUAUAUAAUGGCUAUACCAAUAACACUACCUAUUAUAAAAAUGAAAACAAAUACAUUGAAGAAAGCAUUAACACAAAUUUGAUAAACAAUAAAUACGUAACGAUUGAUGAUAGUAGUAACAUACAUAAAAACUGUCAAAUUAAAAAUAUUUAUUCUGAUAAUAUGGGUAAUAAAUAUAAUACGAAUGACAUAAAAAAAUUCUUAAAAACCUACGUAAAUGCCUGCCCUCAAAAUAAUAACGAUGAUUAUAGUAUGCCCAUCAUAGACGAAUCUAUGAACUUUGCAUAAACAGCAAAAGCAAAAGCAAAAAAAUAACAUAAAAUAAAAAUAAAAAUAAAAAAGCA
ensembl:lncRNA